UUGAUUUGUUUAUCAAUAUCUCAGACAAUUUUUCAAAAAAGAGUUUUAAGAUUUCUUCGGUGAAUACACGCCCACGAAAAGUCAACGGCUGUAUAAAACAGUCGAUUCACCGAAGUAAAAAGGUACAAGUACACAAAGGGUGGAAGGCGAUCUUUCAAUCGGACCUCAAUAAUGAUCCUUCCGCAGGUUCACCUACGGAAA
rnacentral:misc_RNA from 1 species